rnacentral:rRNA from 1 species
CAAUAGCGUAUAUUAAAGUUGUUGCAGUUAAAAAGCUCGUAGUUGGAUUUCUGGUCGGAAGCUCCUGUCCUCUGAUGAGCGUACAAGUGCGUCCUACCAUCCUUCUGUUAACCUUUAAGGCUUUCGCGGCCUUCUAGGGGCUCAGAUAUUUUACCUUGAGAAAAUUAGAGUGUUUCAGGCAGGCUAGCGCCGGAAUACAUUAGCAUGGAAUAAUGGAAUAGGACUUUUGCCUCUUCUGUUGGUCAUGAGGCUCGAGUAAUGAUUAAUAGGGAUAGUUGGGGGCAUUAGUACUUAACUGUCAGAGGUGAAAUUCUCGGAUUUGUUAAAGACUAACUUAUGCGAAAGCAUUUGCCAAGGAUGUUUUCAUUA